CAUGGAGAAAAAAAUUUGUGUCGUGAUAGACUGAUAAUUGGCUUAUCAGACAUUAGAGCGAUUGUUAAUAAAGUAAAAUCUUACAUUAGUAAAUGCUGCUGAAUACUGUAGAGCUGCAAAACCAAGUCGAAAACAAGCUAAACAAAUACGAGUAAGAAGUAGUAAUAAUAGAACUAACACAAUUAAGCGGAGUGGACACAGUCAAAUCAAAAAGGGAAUGUUUAUUAGUCAUUUGAAAUUUAGUAAAAAAAGUGGGCAACAUUUAUAUACUAUCAAAUCUCAAGCGCAACAGCAGUUUAAUACUUUUUAGCAUUCUAGAAAUUCAAAGUACACCAAAUUCUGUGAAAAGAAAACUUACAUAUAAUAGUAGGCCAGAUUUCCUUACAAAAAUAUUAAUUCUAGUUGUCAAUCUAUGUAAUAAUACAGUAAAUCGCCAGUUAAUUUUCAAUUAGAUGAUGAAGAGUUAGAUCAUAAUUUUAAAAGUUUAACUGAUAUCUCUUCUACAUCUAUAAAAAUUUUCAAAACACUUCAUUAUAUUAAUUAUAAAAAAGCUGUGAAAAGUCAAGUAAAAUUUAAACAAGUAUCACAAAAUGAAACAGAAAGUAGAAUUAAGCAUCAUUUAGCUCAAGUUCUAUCAACAUAAAAGGAAAUGAAAAGCUAGAUAUUACUACUGGCAUAAUUAUUAUCAUUCAUUUAUUCUAAUUUUUGAUAUCAUAAAUCUAUAAGUUUAUUUAAUAGUAUAUAAUUUAUUAAAUACAUUUUUUUGCUAUUUAUUUGUUUAA